rnacentral:rRNA from 1 species
CCUACGGGAGGCUGCAGUGGGGAAUAUUGCACAAUGGGGGAAACCCUGAUGCAGCGACGCCGCGUGAGUGAAGAAGCACCUCGGUAUGUAAAGCUCUAUCAGCAGGGAAGAAAAUGACGGUACCUGAUUAAGAAGCCCCGGCUAACUACGUGCCAGCAGCCGCGGUAAUACGUAGGGGGCAAGCGUUAUCCGGAUUUACUGGGUGUAAAGGGGGCGUAGACGGCAGAACAAGUCAGGAGUGAAAUGCCGGGGCUUAACCCCGGGACUGCUUUGGAAACUGGGCGGCUCGAGUACAGGAGAGGUAGGUGGAAUUCCUAGUGUAGCGGUGAAAUGCGUAGAUAUUAGGAGGAACACCAGUGGCGAAGGCGGCUUACUGGACUGUAACUGACGUUGAGGCUCGAAAGCGUGGGGAGCAAACAGGAUUAGAUACCCCGGUAGUC